ACACCCCGCCCCAGUACUCCCUUUCUCUUCUCCACUAUGGAUAGAGUCUCCACAGAGCAGCUGCCUGCUGGCCACCUACCCAGCUGACAUGGGGACCAUAGGAGCCAGGCAGCUGUGCUGGGCGAUCCUGGGCUUGCUCUUCCUCCAAGGACCCUUUAGCAGUUUAAGUCUGGUCACGGAGCCAACUUCUCCCAAUACAGGAGAAAAAUCUUCCUCCGAGUUUGGCAGCCCAAGGCUUCUUUUCAGCUCCAGUAUUCCAGCAACUUCACAGAAGACCCCACAAAGCCCUCUUGGAUCCAGGAACCCUGUAACAGGGAGAUCAAGCGUCACAGAUGGGCACUCCUUUAAGAACCUGACUCAGGCCCAGGCACAGAAGCACACAGCGGAACUUAGCACUGGAGCUCCACACAGCAGUAGCAGCAGUGGCGGAGGCGGCAGCAACGCAAGGGGAGAAACAUCUCAAAAUGAUACUUCUAAUUCAGUCACCAUGAACUCAAGUAUGAUGGAAGACUUGACCAUCCUGCCUAGCCCCACAUUAGCGACUGUGCUCACUGUGGCUGCCUUUGGUGUGAUCAGCUUCAUUGUCAUCUUGGUGGUUGUGGUGAUCAUCCUAGUCGCUGUGGUCAGUCUAAGGUUUAAGUGUCGGAAGAACAAGGAGUCAGAAGAUCCCCAGAAACCAGGGAGUUCAGGACUAUCUGAAAGCUGCUCCACAGCCAAUGGAGAAAAAGACAGCAUCACCCUCAUCUCCAUGAAGAAUAUCAACAUGAAUAACAGCAAAGGCUGCCCCUCAGCAGAGAAGGUUCUUUAAAAGUGACUUUGGUCCCCAUGGGUCCAAGGAUGAUGCAGCUAUUCCAUGACUAUAAGGAGGAAGAGAUGAAAUUGAUAGAGGCAAUAAACCAUAUAUAAAUUAUUUUAUUGUUUUGUGUCUGCUCCUGGAUCUAAAGGACACUGGCACUCCUCCAGAUCUGGCAGCAAGCUUCCAGCAUGAGAGACUGCUUCCCACACAGACAGAAAUAUGGCCUGAUCCUCUUCUUUCUAGAGUCAUAUGAAGGAGCAGCCUAUAAAGCAAGAAGAAGGAAAAAUACCGCAGUGGACUGAUCCUUUAUGCUUGCAUUAAAAUUAUUUUCUAGUCUGGCAGUCCAAUUUCUUUUAAGGUCUAUGUUUCCAUGCACAUUUCUUCCUCUUUGUGUGUGUGGUACAAAUACAGGACCUCAUACUUUCAAGCACUUUAUCACUGAGCUACAUCCCCAGUCCUUUUUGUGUUUUGAGACAGGAUCUCCCUAAAUUGCCCUGGCUGGCCUUGAACUUGUAAUCCUCCUGUAUCAGCCUCCUGAGUUGCUGGGAUUACAAGUGUGCACCACCAUGCCUGGAUCCCUUGUACAUUUUUUAACAUUCCAGAAGCUUUCCAGAUUUCUUUGCUAGGCCAAGCAUGCAUACCUCUUUCUGCUUCUGUGGGAAGCUCUCUGAGAAAUGUGGGAGAGGAACUUUUUAUUCAGUCUGCCUCUGUUCACCUAUUUUAUUAAGUGGGGUUGAGGUAACUGACUGACCUACUCAACAGAAAUGAGACACAAGGGACUGUAAACAGAGACCAGUCAUCACCAAUAAAAAGGUUGUUUUUUGAAGUGCUGGGUAUUGAACAAUCACCUUACCACUGAGCCACAUUCUCAGCCCAGGCAAUACAAAGUUUUAAAUCUGUAGAAUAAAAACAAGGGAAGCACAAUCCAUUUUGACAAAGAAACUCCAGGAGUGAAAGCUGAAUGAAAUUCAAGUGUUCUCUGCCAGCAUGGAUACACUUCAUUUUGGCUCUGAGCAUGAGAUGAGCACUGGGAAGAUUUACUUCAAGGAUAGGUCUUUAAGGUCCAAAAACCCACACAUUUGACCUUUGACUGACAUUGUGUUUGUGUCCUAGAAACAUAAUAAAGGAUUGCAGACAUACUAUGAAGUCAUUAAAAAGAAAGGAAAUAUCUGUUUUCUUAGUAAUAGUCAUGUCUACUAUGUCAUUGGUUUGGAAAUGAAUCAAGAGAAGUCAUCUGUGUAUAUCUAAUCUACUGCUAAUUGGCAGUUUAGGACACAGGGAGAAUGGAGCUUACUCACCUGCAGGAACAGUAUGCUAUUUUCUUCUGGCUUUGACUUCAUAAAGUGGUAUGAGACAGAAUGUCUAGAACAAAAAGUUUUGUUUUAUUUGUCUCAGUUAAACUAUAAAAUACUAGGCAUGGUGGUACAUGCCUGUAAUCCCAGGAAUUCAGGAUGCUGAGGCAGAAGGAUUGCAAGUUCAAAGUCAGCCUCAGCAAUUCAUAUAGGCCCUCAUCAAGUUAGCAAGGCCCUGUGUCAAAAUAAAAAAUAAAAAGGACUGGGGGUGUAGCUCAGUAAGGUGCCACUGGAUUCAAUCCCUAGUGCCCGAAACCCCUCCAAAAAACUAUUAAAGUGGGCUAGGCACGGUGGCACACACCUAUUGUCUCAGUGGCUCUGGAGGUUGAGGGAGGGUGGAGGGAGAUAUUAAAGAGAGCUUGUUGGGGACUAAAGGUGUGUAGCUCAGUGGUACAGCAUCUGCUUUGCAUGUACAAGGCUGUAAGUUCAAUCGUUAGCACCAAAAAUAAAUAAUAAAGUGAGGUGGCUGGACUACUUGGCUUUCACUAACUUCUUUUGUUUUAUAUCCCACAGUUCUGUGAACUCUAGAUAUUAAAAAAUAAAAUGAAUGAAUGAAUGAAAU
ensembl:lincRNA